rnacentral:rRNA from 1 species
AUGCUCCCCACUUACCUGCUGCACCAUGUCCUCAACAAGCCACUUCUCAAGGAAAGCUUCACCCUUUGCCGGGAGGCACACGAGGAUUUGUGCCUCACUACGCAGACGAUGCUGCUGUUUUUUGUGCCCCCAUCAAGGAGGACUUUCAAUUCCUCGCCACCAUGCUUGCAUCCUUCAGUAAGUCCAAAAGAGUGUUGUUGCUCACAUCUGAUAUGGCGCGGUGAUCUUGAUGAUAUUCUUCAGUCCUUCCCGGUGUGUCGUUCCGCCUUCCCUAUUCGUUACAUCGGCCUCCCUCUCGCUGUCAAAAGUUUUUGUUAG